AAAAAAAGGCGGUAGGCAUGAUUCUUAGGCAAAUCCGGGAAUCUCUAUGCCGAGCACCGAGACGAGUCCUAUGAGGACGAAGUGACUGACACCACGCUUCCAGGAAAAGCCACUAAGCUUCAGCUGUAGAAAAACCGUACCGCAAACCGACACAGGUAGGCAGGGUGAGAAUCCCAAGGCGCUUGAGAGAACUCGGGUGAAGGAACUAGGCAAAAUGGCACCGUAACUUCGGGAGAAGGUGCGCCUCUUGGUGUGGUCACGUGCGUGACUGAGCAUCGAGGGGUCGCAGUAACCUGGCCGCUGCGACUGUUUAUCAAAAACACAGCACUCUGCAAACACGAAAGUGGACGUAUAGGGUGUGACGCCUGCCCGGUGCUGGAAGGUUAAUUGAUGGGGUCAGCCGCAAGGCGAAGCUCUUGAUCGAAGCCCCAGUAAACGGCGGCCGUAACGAUAACGGUCCUAAGGUAGCGAAAUUCCUUGUCGGGUAAGUUCCGACCUGCACGAAUGGCGUAACGACAGCGGCGCUGUCUCCACCCGAGACUCAGUGAAAUUGAAAUCGCUGUGAAGAUGCAGCGUUCCCGCGGCAAGACGGAAAGACCCCGUGAACCUUUACUAUAGCUUUACACUGAACGUUGAGUUCUUCUGUGUAGGAUAGGUGGGAGGCUAUGAAACCAGGACGCUAGUUCUGGUGGAGCCAUCCUUGAAAUACCACCCUGAAGUGCUUGACGUUCUAACCUAGGUCCGUAAUCCGGAUCGGGGACCGUGUAUGGUGGGUAGUUUGACUGGGGCGGUCUCCUCCCAAAGAGUAACGGAGGAGCACGAAGGUACGCUCAGCGCGGUCGGACAUCGCGCACUGUGUGCAAAGGCAUAAGCGUGCUUGACUGCGAGAUCGACGGAUCAAGCAGGUACGAAAGUAGGUCUUAGUGAUCCGGUGGUUCUGUAUGGAAGGGCCAUCGCUCAACGGAUAAAAGGUACUCCGGGGAUAACAGGCUGAUACCGCCCAAGAGUUCAUAUCGACGGCGGUGUUUGGCACCUCGAUGUCGGCUCAUCACAUCCUGGGGCUGUAGCCGGUCCCAAGGGUAUGGCUGUUCGCCAUUUAAAGUGGUACGCGAGCUGGGUUCAGAACGUCGUGAGACAGUUCGGUCCCUAUCUGUCGUGGGCGUUGGAGAUUUGAGGGGGGCUGCUCCUAGUACGAGAGGACCGGAGUGGACGUUCCGCUGGUGUUCGGGUUGUCAUGCCCAUGGCAUUGCCCGGUAGCUACGAACGGAAGUGAUAACCGCUGAAAGCAUCUAAGCGGGAAGCACGCCCCAAGAUGAGAUCUCCCGAGAGCUUGACUCUCCUAAAGGCACCAUCAAGACUAGGUGGUUGAUAGGCACGGUGUGGAAGUGCAGCAAUGCAUUGAGCUUACGUGUACUAAUGAGCCGUGAGGCUUGAACAA
rnacentral:rRNA from 1 species